UUACGGCCAUAUCACGUUGAAUCACCGGUUCUCGCACGAUCACCGAAGUUAAGCAACGUCGAGUCUGGUCAGUACUUAGAUGGGAGACCGCUUGGGGAUAUCAAGUGCUGUAA
rnacentral:rRNA from 1 species